rnacentral:rRNA from 1 species
UUAAGCGACUAAGCGUACACGGUGGAUGCCCUGGCAGUCAGAGGCGAUGAAGGACGUGCUAAUCUGCGAUAAGCGUCGGUGAGGUGAUAUGAACCGUUAUAACCGGCGAUUUCCGAAUGGGGAAACCCAGUGUGUUUCGACACACUAUCAUUAACUGAAUCCAUAGGUUAAUGAGGCGAACCGGGGGAACUGAAACAUCUAAGUACCCCGAGGAAAAGAAAUCAACCGAGAUUCCCCCAGUAGCGGCGAGCGAACGGGGAGCAGCCCAGAGCCUGAAUCAGUGUGUGUGUUAGUGGAAGCGUCUGGAAAGGCGCGCGAUACAGGGUGACAGCCCCGUACACAAAAAUGCACAUGCUGUGAGCUCGAUGAGUAGGGCGGGACACGUGGUAUCCUGUCUGAAUAUGGGGGGACCAUCCUCCAAGGCUAAAUACUCCUGACUGACCGAUAGUGAACCAGUACCGUGAGGGAAAGGCGAAAAGAACCCCGGCGAGGGGAGUGAAAAAGAACCUGAAACCGUGUACGUACAAGCAGUGGGAGCCUCUUAAUGGGGUGACUGCGUACCUUUUGUAUAAUGGGUCAGCGACUUAUAUUCUGUAGCAAGGUUAACCGAAUAGGGGAGCCGAAGGGAAACCGAGUCUUAACUGGGCGUUAAGUUGCAGGGUAUAGACCCGAAACCCGGUGAUCUAGCCAUGGGCAGGUUGAAGGUUGGGUAACACUAACUGGAGGACCGAACCGACUAAUGUUGAAAAAUUAGCGGAUGACUUGUGGCUGGGGGUGAAAGGCCAAUCAAACCGGGAGAUAGCUGGUUCUCCCCGAAAGCUAUUUAGGUAGCGCCUCGUGAAUUCAUCUCCGGGGGUAGAGCACUGUUUCGGCAAGGGGGUCAUCCCGACUUACCAACCCGAUGCAAACUGCGAAUACCGGAGAAUGUUAUCACGGGAGACACACGGCGGGUGCUAACGUCCGUCGUGAAGAGGGAAACAACCCAGACCGCCAGCUAAGGUCCCAAAGUCAUGGUUAAGUGGGAAACGAUGUGGGAAGGCCCAGACAGCCAGGAUGUUGGCUUAGAAGCAGCCAUCAUUUAAAGAAAGCGUAAUAGCUCACUGGUCGAGUCGGCCUGCGCGGAAGAUGUAACGGGGCUAAACCAUGCACCGAAGCUGCGGCAGCGACACUAUGUGUUGUUGGGUAGGGGAGCGUUCUGUAAGCCUGUGAAGGUGUACUGUGAGGUAUGCUGGAGGUAUCAGAAGUGCGAAUGCUGACAUAAGUAACGAUAAAGCGGGUGAAAAGCCCGCUCGCCGGAAGACCAAGGGUUCCUGUCCAACGUUAAUCGGGGCAGGGUGAGUCGACCCCUAAGGCGAGGCCGAAAGGCGUAGUCGAUGGGAAACAGGUUAAUAUUCCUGUACUUGGUGUUACUGCGAAGGGGGGACGGAGAAGGCUAUGUUGGCCGGGCGACGGUUGUCCCGGUUUAAGCGUGUAGGCUGGUUUUCCAGGCAAAUCCGGAAAAUCAAGGCUGAGGCGUGAUGACGAGGCACUACGGUGCUGAAGCAACAAAUGCCCUGCUUCCAGGAAAAGCCUCUAAGCAUCAGGUAACAUCAAAUCGUACCCCAAACCGACACAGGUGGUCAGGUAGAGAAUACCAAGGCGCUUGAGAGAACUCGGGUGAAGGAACUAGGCAAAAUGGUGCCGUAACUUCGGGAGAAGGCACGCUGAUAUGUAGGUGAAGUCCCUCGCGGAUGGAGCUGAAAUCAGUCGAAGAUACCAGCUGGCUGCAACUGUUUAUUAAAAACACAGCACUGUGCAAACACGAAAGUGGACGUAUACGGUGUGACGCCUGCCCGGUGCCGGAAGGUUAAUUGAUGGGGUUAGCGGUAACGCGAAGCUCUUGAUCGAAGCCCCGGUAAACGGCGGCCGUAACUAUAACGGUCCUAAGGUAGCGAAAUUCCUUGUCGGGUAAGUUCCGACCUGCACGAAUGGCGUAAUGAUGGCCAGGCUGUCUCCACCCGAGACUCAGUGAAAUUGAACUCGCUGUGAAGAUGCAGUGUACCCGCGGCAAGACGGAAAGACCCCGUGAACCUUUACUAUAGCUUGACACUGAACAUUGAGCCUUGAUGUGUAGGAUAGGUGGGAGGCUUUGAAGUGUGGACGCCAGUCUGCAUGGAGCCGGCCUUGAAAUACCACCCUUUAAUGUUUGAUGUUCUAACGUUGGCCCCUGACCGGGGUUGCGGACAGUGUCUGGUGGGUAGUUUGACUGGGGCGGUCUCCUCCUAAAGAGUAACGGAGGAGCACGAAGGUUGGCUAAUCCUGGUCGGACAUCAGGAGGUUAGUGCAAUGGCAUAAGCCAGCUUGACUGCGAGCGUGACGGCGCGAGCAGGUGCGAAAGCAGGUCAUAGUGAUCCGGUGGUUCUGAAUGGAAGGGCCAUCGCUCAACGGAUAAAAGGUACUCCGGGGAUAACAGGCUGAUACCGCCCAAGAGUUCAUAUCGACGGCGGUGUUUGGCACCUCGAUGUCGGCUCAUCACAUCCUGGGGCUGAAGUAGGUCCCAAGGGUAUGGCUGUUCGCCAUUUAAAGUGGUACGCGAGCUGGGUUUAGAACGUCGUGAGACAGUUCGGUCCCUAUCUGCCGUGGGCGCUGGAGAACUGAGGGGGGCUGCUCCUAGUACGAGAGGACCGGAGUGGACGCAUCACUGGUGUUCGGGUUGUCAUGCCAAUGGCACUGCCCGGUAGCUAAAUGCGGAAGAGAUAAGUGCUGAAAGCAUCUAAGCACGAAACUUGCCCCGAGAUGAGUUCUCCCUGACUCCUUGAGAGUCCUGAAGGAACGUUGAAGACGACGACGUUGAUAGGCCGGGUGUGUAAGCGCAGCGAUGCGUUGAGCUAACCGGUACUAAUGAACCGUGAGGCUUAACCU